rnacentral:rRNA from 1 species
CCUACGGGGUGCACCAGUGGGGAAUAUUGGACAAUGGGCGAAAGCCUGAUCCAGCAAUGCCGCGUGUGUGAAGAAGGUCUUCGGAUUGUAAAGCUCUUUCACCGGUGAAGAUAAUGACGGUAACCGGAGAAGAAGCCCCGGCUAACUUCGUGCCAGCAGCCGCGGUAAUACGAAGGGGGCUAGCGUUGUUCGGAAUUACUGGGCGUAAAGCGCGCGUAGGCGGAUAGAUAAGUCAGAGGUGAAAUCCCGGGGCUCAACCCCGGAAUUGCCUUUGAUACUGUUUAUCUUGAGUGCAGAAGAGGUAAGUGGAAUUCCGAGUGUAGAGGUGAAAUUCGUAGAUAUUCGGAGGAACACCAGUGGCGAAGGCGGCUUACUGGUCUGCAACUGACGCUGAGGCGCGAAAGCGUGGGGAGCAAACAGGAUUAGAUACCCCCGUAGUC